rnacentral:tRNA from 1 species
GGGGCCUUAGCUCAGCUGGGAGAGCGCCUGCUUUGCACGCAGGAGGUCAGCGGGUCGAUCCCGCUAGGCUCCACCA